rnacentral:rRNA from 1 species
UGCAGUCGAGCGGUAGCACAGAGAGCUUGCUCUCGGGUGACGAGCGGCGGACGGGUGAGUAAUGUCUGGGAAACUGCCUGAUGGAGGGGGAUAACUACUGGAAACGGUAGCUAAUACCGCAUAACGUCGCAAGACCAAAGUGGGGGACCUUCGGGCCUCAUGCCAUCAGAUGUGCCCAGAUGGGAUUAGCUAGUAGGUGGGGUAAUGGCUCACCUAGGCGACGAUCCCUAGCUGGUCUGAGAGGAUGACCAGCCACACUGGAACUGAGACACGGUCCAGACUCCUACGGGAGGCAGCAGUGGGGAAUAUUGCACAAUGGGCGCAAGCCUGAUGCAGCCAUGCCGCGUGUAUGAAGAAGGCCUUCGGGUUGUAAAGUACUUUCAGCGAGGAGGAAGGCGUUAAGGUUAAUAACCUUGGCGAUUGACGUUACUCGCAGAAGAAGCACCGGCUAACUCCGUGCCAGCAGCCGCGGUAAUACGGAGGGUGCAAGCGUUAAUCGGAAUUACUGGGCGUAAAGCGCACGCAGGCGGUCUGUCAAGUCGGAUGUGAAAUCCCCGGGCUCAACCUGGGAACUGCAUUCGAAACUGGCAGGCUAGAGUCUUGUAGAGGGGGGUAGAAUUCCAGGUGUAGCGGUGAAAUGCGUAGAGAUCUGGAGGAAUACCGGUGGCGAAGGCGGCCCCCUGGACAAAGACUGACGCUCAGGUGCGAAAGCGUGGGGAGCAAACAGGAUUAGAUACCCUGGUAGUCCACGCCGUAAACGAUGUCGACUUGGAGGUUGUGCCCUUGAGGCGUGGCUUCCGGAGCUAACGCGUUAAGUCGACCGCCUGGGGAGUACGGCCGCAAGGUUAAAACUCAAAUGAAUUGACGGGGGCCCGCACAAGCGGUGGAGCAUGUGGUUUAAUUCGAUGCAACGCGAAGAACCUUACCUGGUCUUGACAUCCACAGAACUUUCCAGAGAUGGAUUGGUGCCUUCGGGAACUGUGAGACAGGUGCUGCAUGG